rnacentral:rRNA from 1 species
GCAGUCUGCAACUCGACUGCGUGAAGGUGGAGUCGCUAGUAAUCGCGGAUCAGCAACGCCGCGGUGAAUGCGUUCCCGGGCCUUGUACACACCGCCCGUCACACCAUGGAAGUCUGCAAUGCCCGAAGCCGGUGGCCUAACCACUUAUGUGGAAGGAGCCGUCUAAGGCAGGGCAGAUGACUGGGGUGAAGUCGUAACAAGGUAUC